CAGAAUGUUGUUGGGCCAUUUGUCCACUAGAUGGAGCUCUGACUCAUUUAAUCCUCAGUCCUCAUCACUUUUGAGUGGAGGUUGA